UACGGAGGAUGCGAGCGUUAUCAGGGUUUAUUGGGUUUAAAGGGUGCGUAGGCGGCGAGUUAAGUCAGCGGUAAAAGCCCGGGGCUCAACCCCGGCGAGCCGUUGAAACUGGCUGGCUUGAGAGGCCGAGAGGUAUGCGGAAUGCGCGGUGUAGCGGUGAAAUGCAUAGAUAUCGCGCAGAACUCCGAUUGCGAAGGCAGCAUACCGGCGGUCGUCUGACGCUGAGGCACGAAAGCGUGGGGAUCGAACAGG
rnacentral:misc_RNA from 1 species